GAAACUGGGUCUAAUACUGGAUAGGACCAUCCUUUAUGUGUGAUGGUGGAAAGUUUUUUCGGUUGGGGAUGAGCUCGCGGCCUAUCACUUGUUGGUGGGGUAAUGGCCUACCAAGGCGUCAACGGGUAGCCGGCCUGAAAGGGUGUACGGCCACAUUGGGACUGAAACACGGCCCAAACUCCUACGGGAGGCAGCAGUGGGGAAUAUUGCACAAUGGGCGGAAGCCUGAUGCACCGACCCCCCGUGAGGGAUGACGGCCUUCGGGUUGUAAACCUCUUUCGACAGGGACAAAGCUUUUGUGACGGUACCUGUAUAAAAAGCACCGGCUAACUACGUGCCACCACCCGCGGUAAUACGUAGGGUGCGAGCGUUGUCCGGAAUUACUGGGCGUAAAGAGCUCGUAGGUGGUUUGUCGCGUCGUCUGUGAAAUUCCGGGGCUUAACUCCGGGCGUGCAGGCGAUACGGGCAUAACUUGAGUGCUGUAGGGGAGACUGGAAUUCCUGGUGUAGCGGUGAAAUGCGCAAAUAUCAGGAGGAACACCGAUGGCGAAGGCAGGUCUCUGGGCAGUAACUGACGCUGAGGAGCGAAAGCAUGGGGAGCGAACAGGAUUAGAUACCCUGGUAGUCCAUGCCGUAACGGUGGGCGCUAGGUGUAGGGGACUUCCACGUCUUCUGUGCCGUAGCUAACGCAUUAAGGCGCCCCGCCUGGGGAGUACGGCCGCAAGGCUAAAACUCAAAGGAAUUGACGGGGGCCCGCACA
rnacentral:rRNA from 1 species